rnacentral:rRNA from 1 species
GAGUUUGAUCAUGGCUCAGAUUGAACGCUGGCGGCAGGCCUAACACAUGCAAGUCGAGCGGUAACAGAAAGAAGCUUGCUUCUUUGCUGACGAGCGGCGGACGGGUGAGUAAAGCCUGGGAAAUUGCCCUGAUGUGGGGGAUAACCAUUGGAAACGAUGGCUAAUACCGCAUAAUGUCUACGGACCAAAGAGGGGGACCUUCGGGCCUCUCGCGUCGGGAUAUGCCCAGGUGGGAUUAGCUAGUUGGUGAGGUAAUGGCUCACCAAGGCGACGAUCUCUAGCUGGUCUGAGAGGAUGAUCAGCCACACUGGAACUGAGACACGGUCCAGACUCCUACGGGAGGCAGCAGUGGAGAAUAUUGCACAAUGGGCGCAAGCCUGAUGCAGCCAUGCCGCGUGUAUGAAGAAGGCCUUUCGGGUUGUAAAGUACUUUCAGCAGUGAGGAAGGGUGUCGCUUUAAUAGAGUUACAUUUUGACGUUAGCUGCAGAAGAAGCACCGCUAAC